rnacentral:tRNA from 1 species
GGGGGCCGCGCUGCGCGGAGACCAGGCGGACGCGGCGCUCGAAUCGCUGGUCGGUGCUCAGGUGGGGGAGUUGGAUGCGCCCGGCCUCCGC